GUCAGCAGGUUUCAGAUGUGCAGACAAGAAGGGUUGGCACAUUCCUCUCUGUGUUACAGCAGUGCCCACACUGUGAGUUUUCUAGGAAAUGGAAUAGCCAGCCAGUUAUUGGAAGCACUCCUGUAGGUAAUCUCCAGCUGUCUGUUGCAGUAUAUGCCACUGGUGCAUCUUUCUUCAAACUUGAAAAGAUCUUCCGGGCAAUGCAACUGAAAAUGCCCCACCAUGACACCUUCCGAAGACAUGCCAGGAUGUACAUUGAGCCUGCAAUUGUACAUAGCUGGAAGACAGCACAGGACAACAUGGCAUGUUGCAGCAGCUCAGUCAACAGCAGAACAUUGUCCUAGGAGGUGACAUGACCGCUGACUCACCAGGACAUUCGGCAAAGUUUGGCAGUUACACGGUGAUGGACCUAAGGACUAGCACUAUUAUUGAUUUGCAACUUGUUCAGUAUUCUUUUUCCUACAA